UGGGGAAUAUUGGACAAUGGGCGCAAGCCUGAUCCAGCCAUGCCGCGUGAGUGAUGACGGCCUUAGGGUUGUAAAGCUCUUUUACCUGGGAAGAUAAUGACGGUACCAGGAGAAUAAGCCCUGGCUAACUUCGUGCCAGCAGCCGCGGUAAUACGAAGGGGGCUAGCGUUGUUCGGAUUUACUGGGCGUAAAGCGCACGUAGGCGGAUCUUUAAGUCAGAGGUGAAAUCCCGGAGCUCAACUUCGGAACUGCCUUUGAUACUGGGGAUCUCGAGUUCGGGAGAGGUGAGUGGAACUGCGAGUGUAGAGGUGAAAUUCGUAGAUAUUCGCAAGAACACCAGUGGCGAAGGCGGCUCACUGGCCCGAUACUGACGCUGAGGUGCGAAAGCGUGGGGAGCAAACA
rnacentral:rRNA from 1 species